AGCGAACGCUGGCGGCAGGCUUAACACAUGCAAGUCGAACGCAUCCUUCGGGGUGAGUGGCGGACGGGUGAGUAACACGUGGGAACGUACCCUUUGGUUCGGGACAACUCUGGGAAACUGGAGCUAAUACCGGAUACGCCCCUUUGGGGCAGGGGUUACUGACGCGGGAUCGGCCCGCGUCUGAUUAGCUAGUUGGUGGGGUAACGGCCUACCAAGGCGACGAUCAGUAGCUGGUCUGAGAGGAUGAUCAGCCACGCUGGGACUGAGAUACGGCCCAGACUCCUACGGGAGGCAGCAGGUGGGAAUAUUGGAGAAUGGGCGCAAGCCUGAACCAGCCAUGCCGCGUGAUUGAUGAAGGGCGGAGGGUUGUAAAGCUCUUUUAUCGGUGACGAUGAUGGCGGUACCGGAGGAAUAAGCCCCGGCUAACUUCGUGCCAGCCGCCGCCGUAA
rnacentral:rRNA from 1 species